CCACGUAUAUAUAGGAAGGGGAAAGAAUUUAGAAACCUAACUCUGGACUUCAACAAACUGGAGACUCUACCAAGUGAUCUGUUCAAGCGCUACAAGUUAACUGAUCUGUGGCUGGGAAACAACAACUUAAAAAACUUAUCUGAAGAUCUCUUCACAGGGCAAGAUAUGUUGAAAUAUUUGCGGUUGAGUGGUAAUCAGCUGGAAAAGCUGCCCCCAAACAUUCUUCAAG